GCCUUCUUAGCUGUAGUAGAGCGCGUCACUAGUAAUGACGAGGUCAGUCGUUCAAAUCGGCUAGGAGGCA
rnacentral:tRNA from 1 species